rnacentral:rRNA from 1 species
GAUGAACGCUGGCGGCGUGCCUAAUACAUGCCAGUCGAGCGAACAGACGAGGAGCUUGCUCCUCUGACGUUAGCGGCGGACGGGUGAGUAACACGUGGAUAACCUACCUAUAAGACUGGGAUAACUUCGGGAAACCGGAGCUAAUACCGGAUAACAUGUUGAACCGCGUGGUUCAACAGUGAAAGACGGUCUUGCUGUCACUUAUAGAUGGAUCCGCGCCGCAUUAGCUAGUUGGUAAGGUAACGGCUUACCAAGGCAACGAUGCGUAGCCGACCUGAGAGGGUGAUCGGCCACACUGGAACUGAGACACGGUCCAGACUCCUACGGGAGGCAGCAGUAGGGAAUCUUCCGCAAUGGGCGAAAGCCUGACGGAGCAACGCCGCGUGAGUGAAGAAGGUCUUCGGAUCGUAAAACUCUGUUAUUAGGGAAGAACAAAUGUGUAAGUAACUAUGCACGUCUUGACGGUACCUAAUCAGAAAGCCACGGCUAACUACGUG